CGCAAGCCUGACGGAGCAAGACCGCGUGAGGGAAGAAGGUCUGUGGAUUGUAAACCUCUUUUGACAGGGAAGAAGACAGUGACGGUACCUGUCGAAUCAGCCUCGGCUAACUCCGUGCCAGCAGCCGCGGUAAGACGGAGGAUGCAAGCGUUAUCCGGAAUUAUUGGGCGUAAAGAGUCCGUAGGUGGGUCACCCAGUCAGUUGUUAAAUAGUGAAGCUUAACUUCAUAGAGGCGACUGAAACUGGUGGUCUAGAGUGUGGUAGGGGUAGAGGGAAUUUCCAGUGUAGCGGUGAAAUGCGUAGAUAUUGGAAAGAACACCGGUGGCGAAAGCGCUCUACUGGGCCUGCACUGACACUGAGGGACGAAAGC
rnacentral:rRNA from 1 species